rnacentral:rRNA from 1 species
GACGAACGCUGGCGGCACGCUUAACACAUGCAAGUCGAACGAGAGAAGAGGAGCUUGCUUUUCUGAUCUAGUGGCGGACGGGUGAGUAACACGUGAGCAAUCUGCCUUUCAGAGGGGGAUACCGAUUGGAAACGAUCGUUAAUACCGCAUAACAUAAUUGAACCGCAUGAUUUGAUUAUCAAAGAUUUAUCGCUGAAAGAUGAGCUCGCGUCUGAUUAGCUAGUUGGUAAGGUAACGGCUUACCAAGGCGACGAUCAGUAGCCGGACUGAGAGGUUGAGCGGCCACAUUGGGACUGAGACACGGCCCAGACUCCUACGGGAGGCAGCAGAGGGGAAUAUUGCACAAUGGAGGAAACUCUGAUGCAGCGAUGCCGCGUGAGGGAAGAAGGUUUUAGAAUUGUAGACCUCUGUCUUCAGGGACGAAAAAAGACGGUACCUGAGGAGGAAGCUCCGGCUAACUACGUGCCAGCCGCCGCUGUAA